CGGAGGAAAAGAAACUAACAAGGAUUCCCCUAGUAACGGCGAGUGAAGCGGGAAGAGCUCAAAUUUGAAAGCUGGCACCUUCGGUGUCCGCGUUGUAAUCUCGAGAAGUGUUUUCCGUGCUGGACCAUGUACAAGUUCCUUGGAAUAGGACGUCAUAGAGGGUGAAAAUCCCGUACUUGACAUGGACGCCCAGUGCUUUGUGAUACACUCUCCACGAGUCGAGUUGUUUGGGAAUGCAGCUCAAAAUGGGUGGUAAAUUCCAUCUAAAGCUAAAUAUUGGGGAGAGACCGAUAGCGAACAAGUACCGUGAGGGAAAGAUGAAAAGCACUUUGGAAAGAGAGUUAAACAGUACGUGAAAUUGUCGAAAGGGAAGCGCUUGAAGUUAGACAUGCUUGCCGGGAUUCAGCCUUGCUUUUGCUUGGUGCAUUUCCCGGUGUGCAGGCCAGCAUCAGUUUUGUUUGCCGGAUAAGGGUGAGAGGAAUGUGGCCCCUCGGGGUGUUAUAGCCUCUCACUGGAUACGGCGGAUGGGACUGAGGACCGCAGUGUGCCUUUAUGGCGGGCCUUCGGGCACCUUCACACUUAGGAUGCUGGCGUAAUGGCUUUAAGCGACCCGUCUUGAAACACGGACC
rnacentral:rRNA from 1 species